UACGCAGGGUGCAAACGUUGCUCGGAAUUAUUGGGCGUAAAGCGCACGUAGGCGGCUUAGCAAGUUGGAUGUGAAAUCCCUCGGCUCAACCAAGGAAGUGCAUCCAAAACUGCUGAGCUUGAGUACUUAAGAGGAUCGCGGAAUUCCCGGUGUAGAGGUGAAAUUCGUAGAUAUCGGGAGGAACACCAGUGGCGAAGGCGGCGAUCUGGGAAGAUACUGACGCUGAGGUGCGAAAGCCAGGGGAGCAAACGGG
rnacentral:rRNA from 1 species